CUUUAACCCUAUGUAGUUUAUAGCUUCUGGUAAGCAAACAAAGCAUAGUUUAAUAAUGUUUGGUAUAAUUAAAUUUGGCCCCUUUAACCUACCUACUUACUAUUAACGAUGGUAGUAGGUUACAUAUUUAUUUUAUAACAUCAUAUUAAAUAAACUUCGUUUCACCUACCAUCUUCAGUAUUUAUAAUUUGGAUAGUUAAAAAUUUAAUUUAAACAGAGAGUAAACAUGAACAUGAUUUAAAAAGGCUGAAGCAGAAUAUUCAGAAUUAUAUUAAUUAAAUGAGUACUGUCAUCUUUACCAGACCAUAAAAUUAAAAAAAAAGAAUACUGUCAAUUGUCUGACUGACAUACCAUCACCAACUGACAUUGACUUUAACAUUGACAUAUAACGUCCCACAGUGCACUUGCCAGGCAGUAUUUUUUUUAUUCUAUAAGUUAAUUUUUAUAACCGUACAUUAGUAUUUAGUACCGUACUAUACAUGUAUUAUUCGUAGAUAUCUGUGCUAUUAAUUACAAUUUACAAACUGUAAUAAGUACUGUAUAAAGUGAUUACAAAUGACUAAAACCGGCAUUCAGAGAAGUGUAGCAAUUUCAGCCAAAUUUAUUUGAAUUACCCAUCCGGCAGACCUAUCAGGAGGACAGAAGAAGCUUCAGUAUGCCUUCCGUAGUAGCAGACCGUCCUCGCGACUGUACUUCUUGCAGAAUAGUUAGUGCUGUUGGUCUAAUCGGCAUUGGUGGUUAUUUAGCUAAUGUUGCUUGGCAAAACAAAACAAUAGCUGGAAAAGUUGCUAUAUCCACUAUGUCGCUUGCAUUUGUGUCUCUGGGUAUUGCAAGAUAUAAGCAAGAGUAUCCUUUUAACAAAAAAGACGAUAAUAAAAUUGUUUAAGAAUAAUAAAGCUUGUAAUAAAAUGUAUAUAAUGUUAAAUUAGUUGGUACUUUGUAAAUAGAGUUUUAAUAAAAUAUAAGAAAAAUGAA